rnacentral:rRNA from 1 species
GUCAGCGGUCAUAGGAAGGGGGAAACACCUGAUCCCAUCUCGAACUCAGAAGUUAAGCCCCUUCACGGUGUUUUGAGUACUGCCCUUCGGGCGGGAAAUUGCACUGCUGCUGACA